rnacentral:lncRNA from 13 species
UUGUCAUCAAUGGUCAAUCAUAAUCAUGAAGUUGUAAAUUCUGAAGUUUAAUCAUUGAUAAAUUGACAAGUUUGUUAAUUGUGACAGUUGUGAAUGGACUACAAAUCACACGAUAAUUUUCGUUCCAUAAUACAAUUAAUAAUAUUCGGUUUGUUUCCAAAUUAAUUACGGAUCAAACUUAAUCAUGUUAUUUUAAAGAGAUGUUGCAAAAUGCGGUAUAGAAAUUAUAUCUCAUAUUUCUAUCAUUAUUUGACAAUAUAGGCUAAAUUCUAAAACUUAUUUAUAUGAAUUUAAGAAGAAAAACAUAUAAAUAUAAAGUAGAUGAUUUAAAAUUUAAGAAAUGUAAAUUUUAAAAAUCAGUAAACAACAUGUAUAAAAGAAUAUGGACAGCGCUCGAGCUAAACAAAAUUGUCUCUGUAAUUAUUAUACACGCACUCGAUUUAUUAUUAUUUCUCAUAUUAUUGCCAUUUAUGGUUUGGGAAUGGUUCUCUGAAAGGCCAUAUAUAAUAACAAUCUUGAGAACAAUUAUCGAAGUAACGUUAGAGCUGAUUGUGUUGACUAUCUUUGCUGGUGUAUCAAUACUCAUAACUGUGAUUUUUGUAUUUGAUGAUGUAUAUUGCAGUAAAACGCAAUCAAAUCAGCAAAAAAUUUUAAAUAUUGCGCUACAUGAUAAUGAUAAAAGUUUUCAUAUUGUAGAAUCUUCAAAUUUUACAAAUAAUAAACGUU